CAGCCGCCACGGGAAUACCGAGGGUGCAAGCGUUAAUCGGAAUUACUGGGCGUAAAGCGCGCGUAGGUGGUUUGUUAAGUUGGAUGUGAAAUCCCCGGGCUCAACCUGGGAACUGCAUCCAAAACUGGCAAGCUAGAGUAUGGUAGAGGGUGGUGGAAUUUCCUGUGUAGCGGUGAAAUGCGUAGAUAUAGGAAGGAACACCAGUGGCGAAGGCGACCACCUGGACUGAUACUGACACUGAGGUGCGAAAGCGUGGGGAGCAAACAGGAUUAGAUACCCGAGUAGUCCCUGUCUCUUAUAC
rnacentral:rRNA from 1 species